GCUUGCUUGGUGACAGAGUUAUCCUUUCAGAAGAGUAGCAAACUCUGGGAAAUUUCUGGAAGAAAUAGCACACUGAUGAGAAUGCAGAGAGGAAACUCCCCAUGACUCUGGGAAGCACAAAGCAGGCACAGGACUCAGCCGACCAUGGUAGUGUGAUUUUAGCUCAAAACAACCUCCAAGGACUCUUGGGAGAAAUUUCCUUGGCUAUCCACCUGACAUGUUAGGAAAAUAAAAUGACAUUAAACACCAUUUAAAACAAACAAACAAACA